rnacentral:rRNA from 1 species
GACGAACGCUGGCGGCGUGCCUAAUACAUGCAAGUAGGACGCACAGUUUAUACCGUAGCUUGCUACACCAUAGACUGUGAGUUGCGAACGGGUGAGUAACGCGUAGGUAACCUGCCUAUUAGAGGGGGAUAACUAUUGGAAACGAUAGCUAAUACCGCAUAACAGUAUGUAACACAUGUUAGAUGCUUGAAAGAUGCAAUUGCAUCGCUAGUAGAUGGACCUGCGUUGUAUUAGCUAGUAGGUAGGGUAAUGGCCUACCUAGGCGACGAUACAUAGCCGACCUGAGAGGGUGAUCGGCCACACUGGGACUGAGACACGGCCCAGACUCCUACGGGAGGCAGCAGUAGGGAAUCUUCGGCAAUGGGGGGAACCCUGACCGAGCAACGCCGCGUGAGUGAAGAAGGUUUUCGGAUCG